AGAGUUUGAUCCUGGCUCAGGACGAACGCUUGCGGCGUGCCUAAGAAAUGCAAGUCGAACGGGGGAAACCCAGUGGCGAACGGUCGCGUAACACGUAAGCAACCUGCCCAAGAGUGGGGGACAACAGCCCGAAAGGGCUGCUAAUACCGCAUGUGGUCCACAGAAGGCAUCUUUUGUGGUCUAAAGCCUUGAGUGCUCUUGGAUGGGCUUGCGGCCUAUCAGCUUGUUGGUGGGGUAACGGCCUGCCAAGGCGAUGACGGGUAGCUGGAGAGGAUGUCCAGCCGGAUUGGGACUGAGAUACGGCCCAGACUCCUACGGGGGGCAGCAAUUAGGAAUCUUGCGCAAUGGGCGAAAGCCUGACGCAGCGACGCCGCGUGAGGGAGGAAGGGUCUCGGCCUGUAAACCUCUUUUCCUGGGGAAGAAGAAUGUGACGGUACCCAGGGAAUAAGCCCCGGCUAACUACGUGCCAGCAGCCGCGGUAAUACGUAGGGGGCGAGCGUUGUCCGAAGUUACUGGGCGUAAAGCGCGCGUAGGCGGUCUCUUAAGUCUGGGGUGAAAGGCCCAGCGCUCAACGUGAACAGUGCCCUGGAUACUGGGUGACUUGAGUCUGGAAGGGGAAAGCGGAAUUCCGGGUGUAGCGGUGAAAUGCGUAGAUAUCCGGAGGAACACCGAUGGCGAAGGCAGCUUUCUGGUCUAAGACUGACGCUGAGGUGCGAAAGCGUGGGGAGCGAACGGGAUUAGAGGUGUUCGGGGUAUCGACCCCCCGGGUGCCGUCGCUAACGCAUUAAGCAUCCGCCUGGGGAGUACGGCCGCAAGGUUGAAACUCAAAGGAAUUGACGGGGCCCCGCACAGGCGGUGGAGCAUGUGGAUUAAUUCGUCACUAACCGAAGAACCUUACCAGGGCUUGACAUNGAGUGUAAGGCUGUGAAAGCAGUCCCCUCCGCAAGGAGCACGAAAACAGGUGUUGCAUNGNUGUCGUCAGCUCGUGUCGUGAGAUGUUGGGUUAAGUCCCGCAACGAGCGCAACCCUCACCGUAUGUUGCCAGCGUAAAGUCGGGAACUCUUACGGAACUGCCCGUGCAAGCGGGAGGAAGGUGGGGAUGACGUCAAGUCGGCAUGGCCCUUACGCCUGGGGCUUCACACAUGCUACAAUGGACGCAACAGAGGGCAGCAAGAGCGUGAGCUGGAGCCAAUCCCAAAAAUACGUCCUCAGUUCGGAUUGCAGGCUGCAACUCGCCUGCAUGAAGCCGGAAUCGCUAGUAACCGCGCAUCAGCUAAGGUGCGGUGAAUACGUUCCCGGGGCUUGUACACACCGCCCGUCAAGUCACCUGAAUUGUCUGCACCCGAAGCCGGUGGCCUAACCUUUUGGAAGGAGCCGUCGAAGGUGUGGGGAGUAAGGGGGACUAAGUCGUAACAAGG
rnacentral:rRNA from 1 species